rnacentral:rRNA from 1 species
GACGAACGCUGGCGGCGUGCUUAACACAUGCAAGUCGAACGGAAAGGCCCUGCUUUUGUGGGGUGCUCGAGUGGCGAACGGGUGAGUAACACGUGAGUAACCUGCCCUUGACUUUGGGAUAACUUCAGGAAACUGGGGCUAAUACCGGAUAGGAGCUCCUGCUGCAUGGUGGGGGUUGGAAAGUUUCGGCGGUUGGGAUGGACUCGCGGCUUAUCAGCUUGUUGGUGGGGUAGUGGCUUACCAAGGCUUUGACGGGUAGCCGGCCUGAGGGGGUGACCGGCCACAUUGGGACUGAGAUACGGCCAAGGCCCCUACGGGGGGGAGGAGGGGGGAAUAUUGCACAAUGGGCGGAAGCCUGCUGCAGCACCCCCGGGUGCGGGAUGACGGCCUUCGGGUGGAAAACCGCUUUCCCCUGGGACGAAGCGUGAGUGGCGGUAAUGGGGAAAGAAGCACCGGUCAACUACGU